UAAUUUCAACCAACCCCUCUACAGUGCGAGUAAAACGCGCGAAUACACCUUCACAAUCAAAUUCACGCGAAACGGCACAUAAAAUAUCGUACUUUUUGCGAAAUUACCGUUUUGCCAACACCAACUCUCCUCGAUCAACGCGCAAUCUCCGCAGAUCCGUCCGUCAAAUUUGCGAACGGAUCACACCAAUGCGAUCAGCAUGACGGAGACAACAAAGCUACAAAUUUGGUUCACCUCGAUCGACCGCUGAUUCGCGACGAAAUCCGUUUUCUCUCCAAAAGGCAGAAAUGACGCACAAUUACAUAUAAAACAUGUAUUUUCGGAUUUUCUCGAAAUUCAUGCGUCAAACUCAAAAUCCGUCAACGCCAAUAGUUCCAGAAUAGCUGAACCGUUCGAAACGAGCUAUUGGACUGCUAUAAACGGAGUCCGGUAUGAGCCAGAAGCCAACUUCACACCGUGGCUUCUCCAGAAAAUUGAGUUACUAUUCACUUUAAGUGAAACUUGGAAAUCGCGUAAAAUCUUCAUUUUAACUCAUUUUUGUCUGAAAUUUGACGAGUGCUUUUAUAAUUAAAUUACACACAAAAACAUCGUCAACUGAGAGUUUAGCUACACUGCAAAAAUCUCAGUCCUUAUAUUAGUGUAGGUUGUAUUUACGCUUGUGUUGAGGUGCCAAGUAAAUUUUUACAGUAGAGUUUAGCCUAAUUCUCAUUGUCGAGUACCGUUUGGACUAAUGAUGAAUCCU
rnacentral:lncRNA from 1 species